GACGAACGCUGGCGGCGUGCUUAACACAUGCAAGUCGAACGGUAAGGCCCUUCGGGGUACACGAGUGGCGAACGGGUGAGUAACACGUGGGUGAUCUGCCCUGCACUUCGGGAUAAGCCUGGGAAACGGGGUCUAAUACCGGAUAGGACUCCGGACUGCAUGGUCUGGGGUGGAAAGCUUUUGCGGUGUGGGAUGGGCCCGGGGACUAUCAGCUUGUUGGGGGGGUGAUGGCCUACCAAGGCGGCGACGGGUAGCCGGCCUGAGAGGGUGACCGGCCAAACUGGGACGGAGAUACGGCCCAGACUCCUACGGGAGGCAGCAGUGGGGAAUAUUGCACAAUGGGCGCAGGCCUGAUGCAGCGACGCCGCGUGAGGGAUGACGGCCUUCGGGUUGUAAACCUCUUUCAGCAUCGACGAAGCGAAAGUGACGGUAGGUGCAGAAGAAGGACCGGCCAACUACGUGCCAGCAGCCGCCGUAA
rnacentral:rRNA from 1 species